AGGCAGUAUCACCUUUUUUAUCUCUGUGUGUCUUCCCCGUUUUCCACAUCGUUUUUCCUCCUUGUGCUGUGCCCCAAGAAUUUCACGGACACUUUUUGCUGCAGUCAGCUCACAGCUCCAGGACAGCACUGGUGUGCCGGGAUAGAACUGGCCUAUAAGUCUCAUUUUAUUGUGGAGCCUGGGUGAGAGGUAGUGGUGGGUAAACUAUGAAAGUCCUGAAGAUUUCCUGCAAGUGCAUUAUUACAAUAAUCACCAGUAUAAAGCCAGUGCUCCUGGCAGGCUAGGGCAGCUUCAGGCAGGUCUGAGUGCCAGCAGACAUGCAGCAGAGCUGGGGAUGUCCCUGCGUCCCCACAGGGAAGCCCUUCCCUCCAUCUUCCACCACACAUCAUGUGCCACAGAAGGUCUCGUUCUGAACACACCAUCAAUCUCAGCUUACUGGUACAACAGUCUGACUUUUCUUUUUUUAAUUUUCUUUCUUUUUUUUAGGAUGCGAACCUCUUGUACUACACAAUGUAAGGAAUAAAGAAUGUUACCAGUUAUCAUGAAUCAGUUAAGAGUUCAGCUGUGUUCCAUCACAUCGCAGGAAGCAUGGCACAUGAAACUGUGUUGGCAGAGAAAUAUUUAAACAAGUGUGCCUUGCAUUGUGUGGGUUCCUCAUGACCAGAGCAGAUGGAGCAGUGAGUCACCUCCCUGACCUUAUCAGAGCUGUGACAACAGGAGACCAGAUGAAACCUCUAACCUGGAUCUGCUUUUCAGCCCACAGAAAUACAGCAUGUUGAAUUUUCUCUGGCUUACACAGACUGCACAGCCUGGAAGUACAAUAUUGUCUGAUGAAGGAAAAAGUUAAUUCUCUUUACACAAGUGAGCACGUUUUUCCUGGAGAGUGGGGAGAGCAUCAACUGACAAUCCACAGCCACAAACACCCUCGUGAGGACUGUGCAUAAUUCACAGAAGUGGGUGGAUUUGUGUGUAUUUGCUGCAUGGACUGGGUCUCUGGAAUCUGUGUUGUGCUGUGGAGUGUGUGAAAUUCAUGCAGGACCUGUGGAUCUCAUGCACGACCUGGUUUCCCUGAGGCUCACAGAAAGAUUUCAAUUUUUAUUGAAAGUGACUUCAAGAAAUACCAAACAAUUCCUUCUUCGGUUAUUUUGGGUAUGACACAUCAGGAGGACAGAAAGGCAGAGAGAGCGCAGAUAAAAUACUGAGCCUUGGAUCUGUCUCACAGAGAUGGCCUGGGAUGCAGCAAGGAGGAAGCACGGGACAAACAGCGCGGACUGUCAGAGCCACAAAAACAGGGAGGCAAAACAGCAGCGCCGGCUUCAGGCCGGCUCUGCCUCAGCUGCUCAGCCCAGGCGGUGUCCCUGCAGCAGGGGACAGACGGGGGCUGUCUGUCCUCUUC